UGCAGAAACCUAAAGAAGAGGCCCCCAGUUUGUCAGAGCCACCUGCUGACCAGACACCCACUCCAGCAGGAAGGGGAGCAAGUCCAUCAGCAGCCUGGCAAGGAGCUGAGGAACAGGAUGGAGCCUCAGGCUAGUGCUCCAGGGAUGGGGCUCCUUGUUCUCCCCAACCUUCUCCAGGAGACAUCGAGGCUCACCCAAGGCCUGUGCAAGGGAGAUGAGAAGCUGAGAGCAAGACUCUCUCUCAGAGAACUCUCUCUGGAGGUGGAGCUGGCCAAAGCUGAACUGGUGGGGCUCUGAACACUAGAGUCUUGCUUGGACAAAUCUUGUGGUGAG
rnacentral:lncRNA from 1 species